CCAGUCGGCCGGACAGCCGCUGCCGCAAGUGCCGAAAGGCCGCGGGGGAGGAAAGUCCGGGCUCCAAGGAAACACGGUGCCGGGUAACGCCCGGCGGGGGCGACCCCAGGGAAAGUGCCACAGAAAGCAAACCGCCCCGAAUGCAGGUCUUGAAUCUGUUGGCGGGGUAAGGGUGAAAGGGUGGGGUAAGAGCCCACCGCGCGGCCGGCAACGGACGCGGCACGGUAAACCCCACCGGGAGCAAAACCGAAUAGGGGCGACGCGGGCUCAGAAGCGAUUUUGAGACCAGGCCGGUUUCCGGGCCAGUCGCUCGGGUAGGUUGCGAGAGGCGUUCGGCAACGGGCGUCCCAGAUGAAUGGCUGUCACGUAUGGGGCUUCGGCCUCGUGCCAUACAGAACCCGGCUUAUAGGCCGACUGGCAUU
rnacentral:RNase_P_RNA from 1 species